AUGAUAGACAGAGCGCCUGAUGAACUAUGGACGGAGGUUCGUGACAUUGUACAGGAGACAGGGAUCAAGACCAUCCAGAUGGAAAAGAAAUGCAAAAAAGCAAAAUGGCUGUCUGUAGGGGCCUUACAAAUAGCUGUUAAAAGAAGAGAAGCGAAAAGCAGAGGAGAAAAGGAAAGAUAUAAGCAUCUGAAUGCAGAGUUCCAGAGACUAGCAAGGAGAGAUAAGAAAGCCUUCCUCAGCAAUCAAUGCAAAGAAAUAGAGGAAAACAACAGAAUGGGAAAGACUAGAGAUCUCUUCAAGAAAAUUAGAAAUACCAAGGGAAUAUUUCAUGCAAAGAUGGGCUCGAUAAAGGACAGAAAUGGUAUGGACCUAACAGAAGCAAACGAUAUUAAGAAGAGGGGGCAAGAAUACACAGAAGAACUGUACAAAAAAGAACUUCACGACCCAGAUAAUCAUGAAGGUGUGAUCACUCACCUAGAGCCAGACAUCCCGGAAUGUGAAGUCAAGUGGGCCUUAGAAAACAUCACUACCAACAAAGCUAGUGGAGGGGAUGGAAUUCCAGUUGAGCUGUUUCAAAUCCUGAAAGAUGCUGCUGUGAAAGUGCUGCACUCAAUAUGCCAGCAAAUGUGGAAAACUCAGCAGUGGCCACAGGACUGGAAAAGGUCAGUUUUCAUUCCAAUCCCAAAGAAAGGCAAUGCAAAAGAAUGCUCAAAGUACCGCACAAUUGCACUCAUCUCACACGCUAGUAAAAUAAUGCUCAAAAUUCUUCAAGCCAGGCUUCAGCAAUACGUGAACCGUGAACUUCCAGAUGUUCAACCUGGUUUUAGAAAAGACAGAGGAACCAGAGAUCAAAUUGCCAACAUCCGCUGGAUCAUGGAAAAAGCAAGAGAGUUCCAGAAAAACAUCUAUUUCUGCUUUAUUGACAAUGCCAAAGCCUUUGACUGUGUGGAUCACAAUAAAUUGUGGAAAAUUCUGAAAGAGAUGGGAAUACCAGACCACCUGACCUGCCUCGUAAGAAACCUGUAUGCAGGUCAGGAAGCAACAGCUAGAACUGGACAUGGAACAACAGACUGGCUCCAAAUAGGAAAAGGAGUACGUCAAGGCUGUAUAUUGUCACCUUGCUUAUUUAACUUCUAUGCAGAGUACAUCAUGAGAAACGCUGGGCUGGAAGAAGCACAAGCUGGAAUAAAGAUUGCCGGGAGAAAUAUCAAUAACCUCAGAUAUGCAGAUGACACCACCCUUAUGGCAGAAAGUGAAGAAGAACUGAAGAGCCUCUUGAUGAAAGUGAAAGAGGAGAGUGAAAAAGUUGGCUUAAAGCUCAACAUUCAGAAAACGAAGAUCAUGGCAUCUGGUCCCAUCACUUCAUGGGAAAUAGAUGGAGAAACAGCAGAAACAGUGUCAGACUUUAUUUUCUUGGGCUCCAAAAUCAUUGCAGAUGGUGAUUGCAGCCAUGAAAUUAAAAAACGCUUACUCCAUGGAAGGAAAGUUAUGACCAACCUAGAUAGCAUAUUGAAAAGCAGAGACAUUACUUUGCCAACAAAGGUCCGUCUAGUCAAGGCUAUGGUUUUUCCAGUGGUCAUGUAUGGAUGUGAGAGUUGGACUGUGAAGAAAGCUGAUCACUGA
rnacentral:lncRNA from 1 species